rnacentral:rRNA from 1 species
GACGAACGCUGGCGGCGUGCUUAACACAUGCAAGUCGAGCGGAAAGGCCCUUCGGGGUACUCGAGCGGCGAACGGGUGAGUAACACGUGAGUAACCUGCCCUGGACUUUGGGAUAACCCUCGGAAACGGGGGCUAAUACCGAAUACGACUUCCCUGCGCAUGCAGGGUGGUGGAAAGUUUUUCGGUCUGGGGAUGGGCUCGCGGCCUAAUCAGCUUGUUGGUGGGGUGAUGGCCUACCAAGGCGACGACGGGUAGCCGGCCUGAGAGGGCGACCGGCCACACUGGCACUGAAACACGGGCCAGACUCCUACGGGAGGCAGCAGUGGGGAA